rnacentral:lncRNA from 1 species
CACUAACACGUAUAUGCGGGUUGUGCCUACGCACAGCACGCACAUAGUUGUGGACACGCAAGUGCACAAAAAAAUUUUCAAAUGCCCAUCUGUGCAUUGAAACGAGGGGACACUGCACUCAGACACACAAACAAGGUUCACCUAUAAUACUCACACAUGCGGACCAAACUGUUUCCCUUCAACCCAAGAAAAAUCCCCUCAAACUUUUGGCCACGGCUAGGGAAAAUCAUUUUUCCAAAACCACAAGCAUGCAAGUAAUGUUGCAUGCCAAGCCCGAGGACACAACCCACGGACAGCACCUGCAUGCUAUCUGAGUGUUUUCUAGCUUAUGGCCCUAAUGUGAUGGAUACCAGCUCCAUCUGCUAAGAUGUCCAAACUACAUGAGUUUUCUAGCAAGUUUUCUCGGCCAAUUGUUGACCUCUCCAUCUUACCCUCCCAUGUUGUUGGCCACCCAAAUCGAACCAAAGGCCUGGAUCACUUGCAUGUGAUCUGAUGGCUAAAUUUUAAGCAGAAAAUUCUAACUUAAAUGGGUUUUGUCUUUUCCUUCAUUCCUUAUUUCUUCCAAUCGAAAAGAAGAGCAAAAAAUUGAGAGAGAGUUAAGAGAAAACCAUAGGAGAAUUAGUGAGAAC